rnacentral:misc_RNA from 1 species
AAGCACACCACUAUCCGAUGACUAGAAUUUUUAAUUGAAGUCCAUAUUGAUUGAUUCACAGAUACAUGAUCCUCCUACAUCAGCAUUUUCAGUUCAACUGUUCAAACUUAUAGCUGAAUAUGUAAUUGAGACAGAGGUCAUAUGCUUGAAUUAUCUUUGGGCUGAAACUGAGUUUGUGUUUGCUUUGUCAAAUAUUUAUGGAUCCCUUCAUCUCAUUCCUUAUCUCUUUCUUAUUCAUAGCAACAUGUAGGGAUAAAAAACACACCACUAU